UAUAAAGUAGAAGUAUUGUUGUUUCCCACAUUAUUAAAUAAUUAUAAUCUGGAAACAAUUCAGAAAUGAUAUUUUAACGGUUCCGGGAGUUGUGGGACACCAAAAAGCAUCGAGUUUCAUUCUUCGAUCUUGAAAUAUCAAUAAUUGAUAACCCACAAGGCGAUUCGAAUGGUCCAUUGAAUUCCGUAGGAGAAAAAAACCACAGGAAAUAACUUUCAGAGCGCUGGAGGUCGAUGGGCUAAUUCUUUCCUUAUUCACUCCAGGUGCCAAGAACAAAAUCCUGUGCUCCGUUCAUACCCUCAACCAAUCAAUCAAGAUUUCUCGGACUCCUCCCCGAGGUGAUUGUGAGCAUCAAGAACAUCGCAGUGAUUAUCCCAUCGAAACAUUUACAGAUUUCAAGAAAAUAGUUUCAAGAGUUUACACAUAGAGAAUCAGAUCCUAGAACUCAGAUCCUAGAACUCAAAUCCUAGAACUCAGGUCUUAGAACUCAGAUCGAGUAUAAAAUCGGAGCGAGAAAUUUAAGAGUCCAAAGAUUCUCAACUGUAAAAACAGUCACGAGUCUUUCAAUACAGAUACUGAAACAUACAGCCAAUACAAGAAUUCAACUUUCCAGAGAUUCCAACCCGAAAACUCAGUUUCAAGUCUUUGAAUACAGUUACUGAAACUUCCAUCUGAUAUCACGAAACACUAGAUAUUGAACGAAACAAAAUAGAUCUAGAUUUACCU